GGAGUACGUCAUACUAUGCAGGCCUUUGACUGAUUGAGGGAAGCAGAAGGGGUGGGUAUUCCAUCUUGGAGCCAGAGUGAGUUGGACCGAGGAAGUGAAAGCCAUCUCAGGGACAGGAAGCUGCAAUUGCCAGCUCAGCCCCGAAUCUCUGAGCACCAGCCUACCUUCUACUGUCAGAAGGACUUCAGCUUCCAGUAAUGGGAGAAAAACACCAAAUGCGGGGACGAGAGAAAAACACGAAGCUCAUUUCUUCAGGUACUUUUGGAGUCAACCAUUCCACACUUCGAGUCCAAGCAGAGUACACUUGAGAAAUGAAUGUGGACUUCUGCCAACUUCAGAGUAUGAAGACCGGGGCGGGGCACUUUACAAUGCUAUUGGAUCACAAUUGACCUGACUCUUUUUGGUUGCUAAGACAAGCAUCACUUGGUCUUUCCCCAUGUAUGAAAUCUGUGUGCAGGCAAGCUCCUGUCAACUCAUGUGUGCAUGUGAUCAGAUGUUUGCACAUAUUUGAGGAUAAAGUCCUUGUAGGGAGAUUGCUAAAAAAUGGGUAAUGAUAAUAACGGCUUAGCAUUUCCCACCUACUGUGCUAAACGUGUUACAUGUCCUCAAGCUCUCUCUAUGAGAUAGGUAUUAUUAUUGCUAUUUUCAACAUGAAAAGACUGGAACUCCAAUAUAUUAAGUAAAUUGCUUAAGAUCACACAGAAAUUGUAAGAGACAGAGAUUUGAACUGUCUUUCCCCAGAAUUUGGGCAUUUUGGAAAACCAUUGCACUGGUGCUAGGUUUGCGUUUGAAUAGGUAGAUAGAAGUACCAAGCUGGAGACACACACAUGCCUGAGAAAUGUCUUAGGGAUAAGAGUGGAAAAGAUGUGGCCCAGUGACACUAGUAGCCUAGUGCAGUUGGAGAAGAGGCAUAAAUUCUUACAGGUCAAUAGAGAAAGAAUUCCUGCAAUGGUUAUCUGAGGUCAUGUUGAGGAGGGUCCAAAUGUUGAUUCAAAGAAUGUAUCCUUUUUGCUUUAUCUAGUGUUACAAUUAUUAAAGACCAAGUUUCUGGAGCUUAAGAAGUUUUCAGAAACUAUAAAUAAAACUAUUUUCAGAGCUGUACA
rnacentral:lncRNA from 1 species